rnacentral:misc_RNA from 1 species
AUAGAUCCUGAGUAUCAACAAACAGGAAUGUUAACUACAAGAUCAGAUAUAUACUCGUUGGGAAUAAUGUUGCUUCAAAUUAUCACCGCCAAAUCUCCAAUGGGUCUUGCACAUCAGGUGGGGAAGGCCAUUGAAAGAGGAACAUUUGAAGAGAUGCUCGACCCCUCUGUGACAGACUGGCCUGUUGAAGAGACGUUAAACUUUGCUAAAAUGGCACUGAAGUGUGCUGAACUAAGAAAGAAGGACAGGCCAAAUCUUGCCACGGUUAUAGUGCCAGAGCUUAACCGAUUGAAAGAACUUGGAAGGCAUCACGCUGAUCAACAUGGUGAUCCUCGACACAGCAGUAGGAGUCGUAGUCGUAGCCCUCUGGCACAUUCUUCUCCAACUGCUUUACACCCAAGGAUCCCACAACCCACUCAGGUUUGGGGCUCAUUCAUCAUGGAUUUUAACG